GGAUGUGAGGGCGAUCUGGCUGCGACAUCUGUCACCCCAUUGAUCGCCAGGGUUGAUUCGGCUGAUCUGGCUGGCUAGGCAGGUGUCCCCUUCCUCCCUCACCGCUCCAUGUGCGUCCCUCCCGAAGCUGCGCGCUCGGUGGAAGAGGACGACCUUCCCCGAUAGAGGAGGACCGUUCUUCGGUCAAGGGUAUUCGAGUAGCUGCACUCCCCUGCUAGAACCUCCAAACAAGCUCUCAAGAACACUGGGCUCAAAGAGGAUAUGGAAACUGAGAGAUUUUGAUUUGCCAGAUAGGAAAGAAGUGGUGGCUA
ensembl:misc_RNA 7SK 7SK RNA